rnacentral:tRNA from 1 species
GCCUCUGUGGCUUAGUGGUACAGCGUCUCACUCGUAAGACGUUCAUGCGUGCACAUGAGAAGAUCCCCGGUUCGAUUCCGGGUGGAGGCA